GACGGAGGGUGCAAGCGUUGCUCGGAAUCACUGGGCGUAAAGGGUGCGUAGGCGGCUGUGCAAGUCUGGCGUGAAAGCCCCGGGCUCAGCCCGGGAAGUGCGCUCGAAACUGCGCAGCUCGAGUGCCGGAGGGGAGAGUGGAAUUCCUGGUGUAGCGGUGAAAUGCGUAGAUAUCAGGAGGAAUACCGGUGGCGAAAGCGACUCUCUGGACGGCAACUGACGCUGAGGCGCGAAGGCCAGGGGAGCAAACGGG
rnacentral:rRNA from 1 species